CGGGGCCCGCACAAGCGGUGGAGCAUGUGGUUUAAUUCGAAGCAACGCGAAGAACCUUACCAGGUCUUGACAUCCCCUGACAACCCGAGAGAUCGGGCGUUCCCCUUCGGGGGACAGGGUGACAGGUGGUGCAUGGUUGUCGUCAGCUCGUGUCGUGAGAUGUUGGGUUAAGUCCCGCAACGAGCGCAACCCUCGACCUUAGUUGCCAGCAUUCAGUUGGGCACUCUAAGGUGACUGCCGGCUAAAAGUCGGAGGAAGGUGGGGAUGACGUCAAAUCAUCAUGCCCCUUAUGACCUGGGCUACACACGUGCUACAAUGGGCGGUACAAAGGGUCGCGAACCCGCGAGGGGGAGCCAAUCCCAAAAAGCCGCUCUCAGUUCGGAUUGCAGGCUGCAACUCGCCUGCAUGAAGCUGGAAUCGCUAGUAAUCGCGGAUCAGCAUGCCGCGGCGAAUACGUUCCCGGGCCUU
rnacentral:rRNA from 1 species